AUUGUUGAGAUCAUCUGUCCUGGUGAUUUUGUAAACAAGGAGUCACAUGGGAGAGAAGGCUCCUUCCCUUCCAUCCAUGCUGAGGAAAGACAAAGAGAUGAGAGUUUAGAGAUCGGCCUGAGCCAAAAUCUUCCUUCCCUUGAAAACUAGAAUUAGAAUCUGGAUUUCACAACUGAUCUCCAUCUCUAUGAUAGUCCGAACCAAAACCUCUGACCUGAAUACCCGGACUUGAAAGGGCACAUUCCAGAUCUAAAACCAUUAGUGAAGUUUAGUACUGAUAAAUAUGAAAUGCAGAAUACCCACAAACUCUAACCCUAGCCAUCACCCUAAUCUUAACCAUUAACUCUAACCACCUCUGUUACCCUGACAAUAAUCUUAAUAGCAAAUGCUGUUUGAGCCCUAAGCCCUGCUUUUGCCUUAACUCUAAAGAUGACCAUAUUACCUUAAGGUUACCUAUAACUGCAAAUCUAAUUGUAGCCAAAACUCUAAACAAAGCUCAAGCCUAGCCUAAAUAUAAGCCCUAACACCAAUCAAAUUCUGGUGUUUAUUCCUUAAAUGAAAUAGGAUGCAAUGGAGUGUCUACCCUAUACUUACAUGAAAAGGGUUAACGGGAAAUAGAGAGCUCUAUUAAAGUACCUGGCUGCACCUGGAGGGUGGGCUAGCAACUACUGAUGAAUCCCGGGGAGGGGAGGAGCUGGGAGCUAGAAUAAAGAGAGGAAGUGUGUAGUUGUAGUGGGGAGAGGCCAGCCAGCUGGAUGGUUGGGAUUGAUUGGGCUGCCUCUCUUGGCAAGAUGAAGAACUCAUGAGUGGUAGAAAGAUGAGUCAGUUCUUUGGGGGAGCUAGCAAAAAGAGUGUGAGAAUCUGUCUUGGCUGGGAGGAGCACUCAGAGAAUCAUAGAAUAUCAGUGUUGGAAGGGACCUCAAGAGGUCAUCUAGUCACUGGGAGGAAAAGUUUGUUUGGAAAAGGCAGAGGGGAUUAUGGGAUGUUUGGAGUGAUCCAAGAACCAGCCCACCUUGAUUCGGAGAAGCAAAGCUCAUUGCCUGGUGCCCUCUCGUUUCAACUUCCAGUGACCCAGAUACUGAUGGUCUGUUUUAUUACACAGCAAACCUUGAGUCACAGCAGACUUUCAAUAUUGUCUGUUGAUGAAACAGGCACUGUGCUAAUAAAAUAAAUCACCCCUUGUACUUCUUCUUUGCCUCGCUGAAUAAAUAUAAAAUAGAGAAUCCAAUAUAGGCAAACAAAAGUUAAGUGUACAUAGGUUUCUUCUCCACUCUCCUUUUCUCCCCAUACAGUUAACACCUCCUUAUCACUCUGUGUUAGUAAAAUAAGAAUCAUGUCCUAUAAUAAGAGAUGAGCCUGUUACCUUUGAUAGCACAAACUAUUUCCAUCUGGCUUCUUCUCAAAGCAAAUACUUCUCCACAUCUCUGCUGACCAUACACUUCCUCAAUAUCAGUUACUACAGUGCAAAAGAAAGAUAAAAUAGCGUAUAUGAUUAUGAUGAUGAUCUUAUUUUCAUAUAGCUCCUUUUAUCCCUCAGGAGGGUUCUCAACAUGCCUUACAGGCAUUACCAGCAGAUUUAUAAACUAUAUAUAGAAACCACUUCACUCAUUGCUGAAGUACAGACACGCUUAGGGUGAAACACAGCAGCUGUUUUGAAGCGGCACAGCUAUAGUUUAGGACAUGAAGAGGAGAAUACAGACUGUGUCCCACUGAAAAUGCAAGAGGCAAUAUUUUAGGCUCUUAUUAAGGAAUCCAUAAAUAUGUCAAUAUGUGGAAGAGCACCUCAAGACCCACAAGGUCAAUACCUGCUUGGACAAUAGAUUUCUCUUCUGCUGUGAUUUCUCAGAAUUCACAGUCACCACAGAACUCUGCUGGACCACAGACUCAGCCUACCUGGGGUCAGGUAAGCGGUGGUUUUGGUAUGUAUUUUCUCCGAAGUGUCUUUCUAGACAUUAUCACUUAUCCUGUACGCGAUUAUGAUGAUG